rnacentral:lncRNA from 1 species
AGUCGACUUUGGUAUAUUUUAGAACUCUUCGAGAGAAGCUCUACUGUGAUAGUCGACUUUGGUAUGUUUUUAACCCCUUAUUGAUAGGAUAAGAGAGCUCUUCAAGUGAAGCUAUACUGUGAUAGUCGACUUUGGUAUAUUUUUAACCCCUUAUUGAUAGGAUUUCAAACUCCUGUGAUUUAAAUUCGGGACCUCGUGAUUUCGUGUUUUUAAACCCGGGAUUUCGGGAUCAGGACCCUCCUACCCCC